rnacentral:rRNA from 1 species
AUAUCAAUAAGCGGAGGAAAAGAAACCAACAGGGAUUGCCUCAGUAACGGCGAGUGAAGCGGCAACAGCUCAAAUUUGAAAUCUGGCCUCUGGCCCGAGUUGUAAUUUGCAGAGGAUGCUUCGGGCGCGGUGCCUUCCAAGUCCCCUGGAACGGGGCGCCGGAGAGGGUGAGAGCCCCGUACGGUUGGCGGCCAAGCCUGUGUGGAGCUCCUUCGACGAGUCGAGUAGUUUGGGAAUGCUGCUCUAAGCGGGAGGUAGACCCCUUCUAAAGCUAAAUACCGGCCAGAGACCGAUAGCGCACAAGUAGAGUGAUCGAAAGAUGAAAAGCACUUUGAAAAGAGGGUUAAAUAGCACGUGAAAUUGUUGAAAGGGAAGCGCUUAUGACCAGACUUGCGCCGGGUUGAUCAUCCAGUGUUCUCACUGGUGCACUCUGCCCGGCUCAGGCCAGCAUCGGUUCUGGAGGGGGCAUAAAGGCCGCGGGAACGUAGCUCCUCCGGGAGUGUUAUAGCCCGCAGUGUAAUAUCCCCACUGGGACCGAGGACCGCGCUCUGCAAGGAUGCUGGCGUAAUGGUCAUCAGCGA